AUUGAACGCUGGCGGCAGGCCUAACACAUGCAAGUCGAGCGAGCGGCGGACGGGUGAGUAAUGUAUGGGGACUGCCCGAUAGAGGGGGAUAACUACUGGACACGGUAGCUAAUACCGCAUACUAUCGGAUAACCCAUAUGGGAUGAGCUAGUAGGUGAGGUAAUGGCUCACCUAGGCGACGAUCCCUAGCUGGUCUGAGAGGAUGAGCAGCCACACUGGGACUGAGACACGGCCCAGACUCCGACGGAGGAAGCAGGGGGGAAUAGUGCACAAUGGGCGCAAGCCUGAUGCAGCCAUGCCGCGUGUAUGAAGAAGGCCCGAGGGUUGUAAAGUACUUUCAGUCGGGAGGCGUUACCGACAGAAGAAGCACCGGCUAACGCCGUGCCAGCAGCCGCGGUAAUAC
rnacentral:rRNA from 1 species